rnacentral:rRNA from 1 species
AUGAUGGUCAAGUCAGCAUGGCCUUUAUAUCCCUGGGCUACACACACGCUACAAUGGCCAACACAAUAGGUUGCUAAGCCGCGAGGUGGCGCCAAUCCAUAAAGUUGGUACUCAGUUCAGAUUGUAGGCUGCAACCCGCCUGCAUGAAGAUGGAGUUGCUAGUAACCGCAGGUCAGCUAUACUGCGGUGAAUACGUUCCCGGGGCUU